CCGGACGUAGUGCGCGGUGCACGCCCGCUUCUACUAUUGCGUACACUUGAAAGCGGGUACCUGGGUUCGACUCCUAGCGUCCGGG